CUGAUGAAACGCUAUGAUGGCAGCAAAAUGUUAUCUUUGCAUGAAAAAGGAAAUUCAAAAAUGUUCAUCUCAGUUGUUUUUGUUUCACAAGACAGUAACUUGAAAGUACGAAAAUAUGUUCAAUAUGUGGUGGGUGGUUUUGCAGCCAGUUUGUUGUGGUCUGUGUCACGGCAUUAUCAUAUGUCACUGUAUUUGUUACAGCAGAACUGAAAGAGAAACAGUAAAAGUAAAAACUGAUGAGACAGCUCCAACAGGUAUUUAAAGUAUUUGCUUUGGGUCAUUUUGUUUCUUCUUGAGUUGUCUCCCGAACAGCAGCUUCUCUUUUUCCUGUCAGGUAAGAGCUGAAAAUUAUUUUAAUACAGACAAAUUUAUUUUUACAUUUAGGCAAUAGCCAAGUCAAGUAAAUUUCUCAUAAAUUCUUGGGGUGUUUUCAUCACAGCAAUUAUGGCCAGAGCAGCUUUAUCCGGAAACAGAAGUUUGCCUGGUGUCAGACCCACCGAAGGACUGCUCCUCAUCGUCACUCUGCUGGGUCUGGUUUGUGCUGCAAACUCACUGAUUGAUACAAAGUAUCUGAACAUUAUUCAGGAAUACUAUGAGGGUGGACUGGAGGAUGCAGCUGACAAGAAGAAAGAAUUUGAGAACAGGAUUAAAC